CCACCACACUUUAGUUCUGAGAAAUCAAGCUAGGAGCAGUGACCGGACGGGAUGAUGACCUGAUGCAAAAACCUUCUCCCUGGUCCGACAGACACAUCCCCGACAUCUAGCGGAGGAAAAAGUAACCGCGGGCCUGGUCGCCAGCGUGCAGAGCUUACCCUCAUGACACCUGGUGGCAAGUCAGCUCACCGCCUCAAGUAGUUCCCCCUUACGCCGCUAGAAAGCAGCGUCGCGGUGCCAUAAGGCACUAUGCUUUCUUCUCGCGGCCUGUAGAAGUCGAUUGUUCGUUGCCUUCGUUUCGGUCCGGUAGAGAGCGCGCAUGUCGUGUUGUUGCCACGCCCGCCUCGGGCUCCUUCGGAAACUUUCGGCUUAGAACCGAACCUUCCCCCUCCUUCCUAGGGCUUGAGCGCCCGUUUUAAUUAGAAGUCUCGUCCGCCACCGCGGGCACUUAGUUCUCUGAGCUCGGCUACUGACCACGUGUUCUCGGUUUCCUCUGCGCUAAGAGGCUUUUCGCGGGAACGGCGAUUUUCGGUUGCACAAAAGAUGUAGUCAGUUACUUAAGGGAUGUGAUCCCAUUUGUACAGUAGCCAGGCAGAGGUAGUUUUUAGAAAAGUCAUGCGUAGUUAAAUUUUUUUUAUUUAUAUUUAAUUCAAAAAAUUCUGGUUUCCUUCGCGCAUCCGCGGAUUCUCGGUGCGCGUCAUCCUGAUGUCGGCGCGAGACACCUCGCGAGCCCUGUUUCCACACCCUGUUUGACAGGGUCGAAGUUACGGAGGGAGAAAUUGCCCCCGCAUGAUCUUCGGGACCUUCAGCUGAUCCCCCCCCCCCCCCUUGUUAGAAGAGUUUGGCCCGCAGUCCGAGGUCAUCCUGGAAAGACCCGGGUGAAAUGAGAUAUAUAUUUCUUUUUUCACUUAAAUAGAAGGAACUAAAACAAAGAUACCAGCGAGCAGUGCUUUAAGGACGUCAUCCUCAAGAAUCUGUAAAAUCGAGGAAACUCAUAAAUAUAUGUAAUUGUUGGGACAUUCAAAUUUGGUUCAAUUUUUAAAUUUUUGAUUAUGUAAUAAUUUUUUGUUAAGGUGUAAUAUGUAUUAUUUUAAAUAAUCCUGGAGCGCCCCCCUUUAACUUUGUUAAUUACUAAGAUUUUUAUUGUCAGGUUUGAAUAAUACGAACACAAAAUUCCUUAAUAAUAAACCAGGGAACCUAUAGACCAAGCUACUUGUGUAGUGUUAAUUUAUUUAUGAUAUACCUUCUUCCCUUAAAAGAUCCACCAGCUCCCAAGUUGCUUGUGUCAGGGAGAUCCAAAUUAUCUUGUUCUCCACCUCGUGCCACCUCUGGUCAAUAACUUUAUUUUUCUUAUUUUUCUUACCCAGCAAGUUUCCAAGGCUCUUUUUAAUUAAUUUAAAAUAAUUUAAUUUUGAGGCACGAGGGGCGUUACAAUUGGUAUCAGAGCGUGGUUUGGUCUAUAGGCAUACCUAAAUAAAGUAGGCAUACCUAAAAUAAAAUAUUAAAAAAAAAAAAUUAAUUAAUUUUUUGUGAAACCAAUUUGUAUUUUUAACAUUGUAAACUGAUCGCUGGUACACCCGGUAGUUAUAUUGCUUUUCUAUUUUAAAGUUAUGAUUGAGUUUUAAAGUCACGUGCGGACUUAGUCUGCGCGCGGCGCAAGAAGUCGCGGCGUCCGGUCCGCUAGCGGGCCGGCAGCGAGACGUGGCUUAUCUCUCGCCUCAGCUGGCGUUCCCCCCCCCCCCCCCCCAGCCACCCGCUCGAGAUAGCGACACGCCCUUAAUCUGUGGGUGACGACUCGGCCCUGUUCCUCCCGCACACCCCUCUCCCUUGUCCAUCGUGGCAGACGACCUUGCGAGCGGCAGGUCAGUCCCCCUGUUGACGUAUACAGGUUGGCAAGUCAAACUGACAGGGGAAGUUCGCGCAGUUGUUUGAGUAGUACGGCGACUUUAUACGCAAAUAAGUUUGGGCACAUACCCCCCCACCUUGAAAGUGUGACUUACUCCCCGCGCAUUGGGGCUAUUUGGUAUUUGAUAUUAAUAUAGGAAGCCUUAUGAGGUAUUUAAAAUUAAGAUAGUUGUUAAGGGAGGAGUAUUUAUGGUGUACGUUUGAAUCGUACAUGUGUGUUAAAUUUUUGUUUUAAUUAGCAGUAAUUUACGCCCGAGCAGUAUGUUUAAGCCGGAGUUAUUGCUGUCAGACGAGCUGACCUAUGAGUUACAGCUACGCAAUUUGCCCUCCAGUGGCAAUGUCCAAGUCCUCAGGAAGAGGCUCAGGGCCGCCCUUCAUGAUGGCGUGCCCACUAGUGUAUCGAAUUUAGAUUUAGAUGUAACUGAAGAAUUCAACCUUGCUUGCGCCAAGUUUUAUGAUAUAUCGGCUUUCGUAAGCUAUCUAGAUGUGGAGGAAAAUUUACCCAAUGUCGAGCGACAUAUAGUCAGGCUAAAACAUGUUACCCGACGUUUGCAAAACCUGAAACAGCUUUCGGCAGACCUUCUCCAUGGAAUUUAUAUAAAAGAGGUAGAACGAUGUUUGCAACAGACGGCAGGUUUCCAUUCAAAAUUGGCGGCGAGAGCAGCCGUUUUGGAAGACACACGACGCAGUCAGCAUUAUGUGGCUGAGGCACAGGCUUUAGGCAUCGAUUGUCCCGCCUUCCCGGAAGGGGACGCUCCUAGCUUGCCCCUGGGAGUAGAGCAACCCGACACGCGACAAUCAGAAGUGCGGGCGACGGUAAACAGACAGGAGACGGAAACGAGCAGAUUACCAGACGCAGCCCCUGACGCUCAGCCACUAACGUCGUUUCCAAAUCAACCGAUGCCCGUAUCUACUACUCAUUCAGAGCCGCUUGUGCAGUUGACGACAGCGGCGACAAACAUUACAACGGGUCAUGUGACAACCCACCCCGUCACUAGUGUGACAUUUUCACAGGGAUUACCAACCUUGGCACAACAAAUGACGCAACCAUACCCACCAAACAUGUUUUUCCCGAAUCCGACCGCUCAGGGCUAUUUUAACCCUUAUGCGCAAUUUCAACCACAGUUUCCUUCAUGGCAAACCACCCCACUUCCGAGUGCUGGUAUUCUGCAGCCGCCACUCACAACGCCCCAGCUCACUCCACCCCAAAUCAGCCCCUCGGGUGCGACUCGGGAACAGACUCAGUCGCACCCGGUGCCACAAAAUCAGCCUUCACCUCAGCCGGCAGGAGCCGCCGCUCAGCCCCACGACUCAGUAUUGAGGAGCACGACAGCCCCAGAAACUAGCUACAGUUUCUAUGGAAAAAUCACCCAUCCUGUAGAAAGGCUACUCAAGGAAUUGCCAGAGGCGUCGGGUCUGGACGCACACAAACUAAUUGAUUUCCUUCGGGUCUUAUUAAAGCUGCGACAAAAGGGAGGGAUUCCCGACAAACAAAUUUUUGAAAUUGUUUACCCAUACACCCAAGCUCCCUUAAGUGAGCGGAUCAUGGCAGCCAUUGAGAAUGACCUCACUUUCGAUGAGUUUCAUGAAGACGUUUUAAAUUUUUGUAUACCGAGUAGGCUACUCACAAACAUCCGGUUGGAGUGGUUUAACCGACUGCAGCAGCGUAAUGAAGCCUUGCCAAAUUACGUGGCUGACAUACGCGAAGCCAACCAGGUACUCAGGCUAAAGGUUUCCGAGAGAGAGGUCGUGAGUACGAUUCUAGACGGUUUGAACCCAGCGGAGCGCUCGCGCUCAGUGUUCCAGGCACGCCCCCAAAAUUAUGAUGAGCUAGAUAAACUUUGCGUACACGCCACAAACAUAGAAUACGCUGAUUUUCAGCGAAAUAAACAAGCCACAUUCGCUAGUCAACAAGGUAGCAGCGCGGGAACGGAGCGCAGUAAUUCGCAACAUAAGAAUGCAGCACAGAAACAUCAGGGCAAUACAUUUUUCUCUUCAAGGCCACAAGGGAGAUAUCAACAAAAUACACAUUGUAAUUUCUGUAAAAGAGACGGGCAUUCCCUGCCUCAGUGUUACCACAAAAACAACAAACAAAAUGGCGACACUCCAAAAAAACGCAUAACGCGGUGGCCCGAACAACCUUAUUUAGGGUCACCGAAAAAUUCUAGUGUUAAAAAUUUUUCUUAUAAGUGGGAAGUUCAACUUGCGCCAAGUAAUGGCAGUACACAAGAAACACCAUUACACAAAAACAAUAAUCCUAACAACAAGGAGUCCAGGAAUAAAAGUAACAAGCGAGGUCACAAACAUAAACAAAGAAAGCACAAUAGCAGGAGAAAUAACAAAAAUAAGGGAAAUGGUAAUUCAACGCUCACGUACUCAUGUAAAACGUGUGUUGAUCCUACAAAUAAGGGCAAGAGAAAAUGCCACCAAAUUUUUGGCAAUAUUCCUACAGUAAUUCCGUAUGCAGUAACAACGAUUGGCGAACACACUGUACCGGGACUAAUUGAUACGGGAUCAGCGCGCAGCCUAAUUUCUGGGCAGUUGUUUGACAAGUUAAAACAGAGCAAAUUAAUUCUAAGGACUGAGACCACUAAGUUACAAUGUUUCACAGCUUCAGAGCAGCCAUUAAAUAUUACGUUAGCAGUUGUGAUCAAGGUGAAGAUUGAUUUAUAUUCAUGGAAUUUCCCAUUUUUGGUGUCUGAUCAACUUGCCACAGACCUAAUAUACGGGUCUGAUUUCAUUGCCAAGACAGGUCUAAUCAUUAAUCUUCAGGCGAAGAAUUUCGUUUUCAAAUUCAACAUGGGUAAUCCUAUUCCUUGUGGGACCCCUGAACAAAUAGUUUCAGUUCCGGCCGAGCCAACGGCAGCCAUCUUGGAUCAGGGUAACACCACUUCACACGAGCACCUUAAUACACAGCAGCGGGCCGCCAUUGAUAAAUUAUGCAGUACUUUUCCAGAUGUCUUGACUAGUAAAUUAGGUCGCACAAAAUUAGUCGAGUACCAAAUUGAGUUAGCGGAUAAAAUACCAGUGAGAUCUCACCCUUAUCAAUUUUUAGGCCCUAAGAUGCAGACGAUGCGCAAUCAUGUUCAGGAGCUUUUAGAAUAAGGGGUAAUUGAACCCUCGACCUCCGCCUACAGUUCCCCAGCUUUUCUGGUGCCUAAGGGCAAGGAUCAACAACGAUGUGUAAUUUAUUACAGAAAAGUUAAUGAGAAAAUAGUCAUACAAAACAUACCUUUGCCAGACCUAAACACUGCUUUUCAUUGGUUCAGUAAGGCCAAAUAUUUUAGUGUGUUUGAUCUAAAUUCUGCUUACCACCAAAUUCCCCUUACUGCGGAUUCAAAACCCAUCACAGCCUUCUGUGUCCCUUGGAACUUUUACCAAUACACAGUAGUACCUUUCGGACUUGCCACGGGAGCCCAAGUACUAACUCGACUCCUGGAUCAGAUACUAGGAGAUCUAAAAUUCAAAACAGUGUACAACUAUCUAGACGAUGUCGUCGUAUAUUCAGAAAUAUUUGAAGAACACAUCAAACAUUUAGAGGAAGUCCUAAGUAGAUUUCGUAAGGCGGGGUUAACUGUCAACACAAAAAAGGUUAAGUUUGCAGUCCAAGAACUGUCUUUUCUAGGACACCUGGUUUCUAGCAAGGGAGUCACCAUUGAUCCUUCACGUACACAAGCUAUUCGUGAUUUUCCGCCUCCCACAAACCCUAAGGGUAUUUCACGUUUUAUUGGUAUGGCAAAUUUUUACUCAAAAUAUAUUCCUAAUUUCGCUGAGCACGCAGCACCACUAAAUACGUUGCGUAAGAAAAACACACCUUUCACAUGGGGUCCGGAACAAGAAAAAGCUUUUAAUUUCCUGAAACAGGCGAUUUCUACCCCGCCUGUACUCCGCAUGGCAGACUUCACCAAACCUUUCAUUUUACAGACGGAUGCGUCCAGUGUGGCUAUUGGCGCAGUACUGUCACAGGAAGUCGAAGGCUGCAGACAGCCUAUUGCGUUUGCAUCGCGGACACUUACCCACGCCGAGAGGAAAGCCUCCUCGAUCUACGAAUUAGAAUGCCUCGCCGUGGUAUUUGGCAUCGACAAAUUCCGACAAUUUAUAGAACACAGGGAAUUCCUGUUGGAGACAGAUAAUCAGGCAUUAGCCUGGCUUUUGGCACACCCGAAACAAUUAGGGAAACUCGGGCGAUGGAUUGCAAAAAUUUCCUCUUUAAAGUUCAAAAUCCAACACAUUCGUGGCACACAGAACAUAGUAGCGGACACACUGUCGCGCAUGUUCGAAAAUCCAACUCAGGCUCCGCCCGAAGGAACACCACUCUUAUGUCAAGCCCUAUUGACAGAGUUUCCGUUGGCAUUUCAGGAUUUACAGAGCCAGCAGGAAGCUGAUCCCCACAUUUCCAGUAUCAUUAAACUUUUUAGUUCAGGAACGGCGCCAAAAUACUUUAGGAUGUCUAAGGGGCUGUUACAAAAACGCACCCCCCAAUCAAAAACAUACAAAAUUGUGCUCCCACAAAAUCUGCGUGAUAUGAUUUUCCAUUAUUAUCACACCUCGCCGGUGGGCGCACACCUCGGUAUAUAUAAGACCAUUCAGGCUAUCCGACGUCAUUUAGUGUGGGACGGCAUGCACAAGGACAUCACCGAGCAGGUGAAACUAUGCAAAAUCUGUGCGCUGAGUAAGCCACCGCAGAACACUCGUUUCGGUUAUUUAACAUCAGAUGUGGCCGAGCGCCCCAUGCAAAAGAUGUUUAUCGACUUUGUCGGGCCUUUCCCGCGCUCAAAGACAGGAAACACUAUGCUGCUGGUGUGUAUCGACGCCUUCACAAAAUUUGUCUGGCUCAUCCCCAUGCGAAAAGCCACCGCAGAAAACACUGUAUCUGCGCUACGUAAUCAGAUCUUCAAGACGUCGGGAGUCCCGUCUAUAGUAGUUUCAGACAAUGCAACCCAGUUCUCGGCUAGGAUUUUUAAGAACAUGUGCUUCUCACAUGGCAUUCUGCACGUCACAACCUCGCCUUAUUAUCCACAGCCCUCGCAUGCUGAGAGAUUCAACCGCAAUCUCCGGUCUGCUCUAAUAGCUUACCAUGCGCAGGAGCAGGAUAAAUGGGAUUCGAAUUUUGUGUGGCUGCAAAUGGCCUUUAAUUAUGCACAUCAUGAAGGACACAAAAGUACUCCUUUCGAACUCAUGUUCACUUACCGACCUAAUACCCCUCUUUCAAAUCUUUGGUCUUUGAAUGACCUAUUGCCCGAUGAUCCGAGAGACAUCAGGGAGAUUUGGAGAAGAGCUCGUAAAAAUCUCAAUCUGGCUCAUGAGAGCAGAAAAAAGAAAUACAACGAAAACAGAUAUCCUAACCCUUACAGGGUAGGCGAUUUUGUGCUUUGUAAGGCACACCCACUCAGCAAGGCAGUGGAUAAGUUUUCCGCCAAGCUGGCGUACCGCUGGAGAGGUCCUUUUCAAAUACAGCGAUUUUUAACGCCAGUUACGGUUAGCCUAGCUGACCCCAGUUCAGGAGAAUUCGUGACCAGAGCGCACAUCUCCCAUCUAAAGAAAACACAGGCUGACUUAAAGUAGAUGUGUUUAAAUUUCUUUCCCCUAACAUAGGGGACUCUCUAAUAUUAGGCAUGCCAGAAAUCCUCGAGGUCUUAAAAAUCCAUGGUACUAGAAAUAAGAAUGCUAGCUUUACGUUGUAUUAGUUUUAAGUGGCCACUUAGUUAAUAAGCUCUUAGUUAAUAAGUUUGUUUAAGGGUUAUCGAUAUGUUGUGCCUGAGAGGCGGACGCGUCUCAAAGGUGUUAGAAUAUAAGUAGUAGGAUACAGGCGAACCUGGUACUAGUUUUACUGAGCAGUGUAAGUGUUUUUUUCUUCCUAUAUGCUCCGCAUUCAAGUGGGUGAGUAUGUGCCAGAAAUUAGGCAUUUCGUCACCUUUUUAAUUUUUUCUAUAAUUUUAAAAUUAUUUGGGGUGUCUUAUUUUUUUAAUUUAUCUGGUUGUUAAUGGGGGUGAUUUACUUUUUGUUAGGCCGGUGUACGCCACGGAUUUAAACUUUGUUGCAGUGGACCGAAGCCCCUUCCCAGGGGGGCCUAUCUGAUAUUUUGCUGGCUAAUGUGGACAUGGUCAGCCCGGUUGAGAUUUCUCCCGCCUGCAGUCACGUCCCGAGUUUGUUAUUUUAAUUCCCUGCAUGACCAAAACUGCAUCGAGCAGCUCCUGGGCUGCAAGCUGCUACCUUGUAGAGGGCUGCUGAGAAUAGCAUGUCUCGUCACGAAGCAGUCUCCAGUGGAGCUGCGUUCCCACCUUAGUGGCUAUUUCUGCCCCCCCUUCCUCUCUCUCCACCUCACUUUAGUUCUGAGAAAUCAAGCUAGGAGCAGUGACCGGACGGGAUGAUGACCUGAUGCAAAAACCUUCUCCCUGGUCCGACAGACACAUCCCCGACAUCUAGCGUAGGAAAAAGUAACCGCGGGCCUGGUCGCCAGCGUGCAGAGCUUACCCUCAUGACACCUGGUGGCAAGUCAGCUCACCACCUAAAGUAGUUCCCCCUUACGCCGCUAGAAAGCAGCGUCGCGGUGCCAUAAGGCACUAUGCUUUCUUCUCGCGGCCUGUAGAAGUCGAUUGUUCGUUGCCUUCGUUUCGGUCCGGUAGAGAGCGCGCAUGUCGUGUUGUUGCCACGCCCGCCUCGGGCUCCUUCGGAAACUUUCGGCUUAGAACCGAACCUUCCCCCUCCUUCCUAGGGCUUGAGCGCCCGUUUUAAUUAGAAGUCUCGUCCGCCACCGCGGGCACUUAGUUCUCUGAGCUCGGCUACUGACCACGUGUUCUCGGUUUCCUCUGCGCUAAGAGGCUUUUCGCGGGAACGGCGAUUUUCGGUUGCACAAAAGAUGUAGUCAGUUACUUAAGGGAUGUGAUCCCAUUUGUACAGUAGCCAGGCAGAGGUAGUUUUUAGAAAAGUCAUGCGUAGUUAAAUUUUUUUUAUUUAUAUUUAAUUCAAAAAAUUCUGGUUUCCUUCGCGCAUCCGCGGAUUCUCGGUGCGCGUCAUCCUGAUGUCGGCGCGAGACACCUCGCGAGCCCUGUUUCCACACCCUGUUUGACAGGGUCGAAGUUACGGAGGGAGAAAUUGCCCCCGCAUUAUUUUCGGGACCUCCAGCUGAUCCCCCCCCCCCCCCUUGUUAGAAGAGUUUGGCCCGCAGUCCGAGGUCAUCCUGGAAAGACCCGGGUGAAAUGAGAUAUAUAUUUCUUUUUUCACUUAAAUAGAAGGAACUAAAACAAAGAUACCAGCGAGCAGUGCUUUAAGGACGUCAUCCUCAAGAAUCUGUAAAAUCGAGGAAACUCAUAAAUAUAUGUAAUUGUUGGGACAUUCAAAUUUGGUGCAAUUUUUAAAUUUUUGAUUAUGUAAUAAUUUUUUCAUAAGGUGUAAUAUGUAUUAUUUUAAAUAAUCCUGGGGCGCCCCCCUUUAACUUUGUUAAUUACUAAGAUUUUUAUUGUCAGAUUUGAAUAAUACGAACACAAAAUUCCUUAAUAAUAAACCAGGGAACCUAUAGACCAAGCUACUUGUGUAGUGUUAAUUUAUUUAUGAUAUACCUUCUUCCCUUAAAAGAUCCACCAGCUCCCAAGUUGCUUGUGUCAGGGAGAUCCAAAUUAUCUUGUUCUCCACCUCGUGCCACCUCUGGUCAAUAACUUUAUUUUUCUUAUUUUUCUUACCCAGCAAGUUUCCAAGGCUCUUUUUAAUUAAUUUAAAAUAAUUUAAUUUUGAGGCACGAGGGGCGUUACAGUAUAUUUAAUAUUUUGGUUCGGAAACUCAUUAAAUAGCACAAUUUUGCUUCUAAAAUUCCAAA